rnacentral:rRNA from 1 species
AGUCGUACGAGGGCUUUUGCCCUAGUGGCGGACGGGUGAGUAACACGUGAGAAUCUGCCCUUAGGAGGAGGAUAACAGCUGGAAACGGUUGCUAAUACUCCAUAUGCCGAGAGGUGAAAGGAUCUAUCCACCUAAGGAGGAGCUCGCGUCUGAUUAGCUAGUUGGUGGGGUAAAGGCCUACCAAGGCGACGAUCAGUAGCUGGUUUGAGAGGAUGAUCAGCCACACUGGGACUGAGACACGGCCCAGACUCCUACGGGAGGCAGCAGUAGGGAAUUUUCCGCAAUGGGCGAAAGCCUGACGGAGCAAUACCGCGUGAGGGAUGACGGCCUGUGGGUUGUAAACCUCUUUUCUCAAGGAAGAAGUUCUGACGGUACUUGAGGAGUAAGCAUCGGCUAACUCUGUGCCAGCAGCCGCGGUAAUACAGAGGAUGCAAGCGUUAUCCGGAAUCACUGGGCAUAAAGCGUCUGUAGGUUGUUUAGUAAGUCUGCUGUUAAAGACUGGGGCUUAACCCCAGAAAAGCAGUGGAAACUGCUAGACUCGAGUGUGGUAGAGGUAGAGGGAAUUCCUAGUGUAGCGGUGAAAUGCGUAGAUAUUAGGAAGAACACCAAUGGCGAAGGCACUCUACUGGGCCAUAACUGACACUGAGAGACGACAGCUAGGGGAGCAAACGGGAUUAGAUACCCCGGUAGUCCUAGCCGUAAACGAUGGAUACUAGAUGUUGCACGUAUUAACCCGUGCAGUAUCGUAGCUAAGGCGUUAAGUAUCCCGCCUGGGAAGUACGCUCGCAAGAGUGAAACUCAAAGGAAUUGGCGGGGGCCCGCACAAGCGGUGGAGUAUGUGGUUUAAUUCGAUGCAACGCGAAGAACCUUACCAGGCCUUGACAUGUCACAAAUCU